UACAGAGGGGGCAAGCGUUAUUCGGAAUUAUUGGGCGUAAAGGGCGCGUAGGCGGCUUUUCAAGUGACGGGUGAAAUCCCUCGGCUUAACCGAGGAACUGCCUGUCAGACUGGAAGGCUUGAGACCGGGAGAGGUGAGUGGAAUUCCCAGUGUAGCGGUGAAAUGCGUAGAUAUUGGGAGGAACACCAGUGGCGAAGGCGGCUCACUGGACCGGAACUGACGCUGAGGAGCGAAAGCAUGGGGAGCGAACAGG
rnacentral:rRNA from 1 species